rnacentral:rRNA from 12 species
AAACGACUCUCGGCAACGGAUAUCUCGGCUCUCGCAUCGAUGAAGAACGUAGCGAAAUGCGAUACUUGGUGUGAAUUGCAGAAUCCCGUGAACCAUCGAGUCUUUGAACGCAAGUUGCGCCCCAAGCCAUUAGGCCGAGGGCACGCCUGCCUGGGUGUCAUGC